GUUACGAAAGGCCGUAGCUUCUCUAUAAAUAUUACAACACACCAACUCAAAAACACUUUAAUCAGACAAGAAACCAAACCAAACUCAAAAACACUAUAAUCAGACAACAAAACCAAACCAUUAUCCCUCCUUUCUUCUCCGAUUAUAUCGAUGUUGUCCGAAGAAGACCGCUAAUGUCAAAACCUCCAACCUCCAACCUCCUUCCACUAAAACUCUCUCUCUGUUCAAUCCCGUUUCUGUGCAAUGGAGAAACCACCGGAAGAAAGAGCCGGUGGCCCAGAGACCAAACCGGUUUCGAAAUCGAUCAAAGCUCGUUUCCUGAAGAAAGGAUCAAGAUUCGGUGGUGGAGCUCCCGGUUUACAAGGCCGCCGCUGCUGAAGAAGUAAAGUCUCUCGAUUCAGAUCUGAUUUUUUGUUUUAGCGAAAGUCAUUGUCUGAUUUCUAAGAUCUGUGGUGAAUCAGGUGUUAAGAAGCUUGCUGCCGGAGACAACAAGAAGUCGACGAUCAUCCCCAGGCGCUUUUUUUUUUUUUUUUUUGCCGAUUAGGAACUAUGAGAGAGGGGAGAGAGAGGAGAGAGAGAGGGGAGAGAGAGAGAGAGAGAGGGGAGAGAGAGAGCGGGGAGAGAGAGGGGGGAGAGCGGGCCCCGGGGAGAGGCACCCGGGGAGAGCGGACGCCCGGCGGGGAGAGCGGGCGCUCGGCGGGGAGAGUUGUUUUAAAAUUUCUAAACACAUUUUAUAUUUGCAUUAAUGUAUAUUAAACCCGCUUUCACGGUACAUGGGGCAUCAGUUUAAUUUUUUGUCAAUUAAUUUAAUAUAACUUCCUAAUACUCCCUAAAUUUGUGGAAUUAAACACUAUAAAAUCGCUAUUUUUUAGAGAAACGGAGACAACAAAAGUUACAAACUUAUUUGACCCUCAUCAAAUGUGAGUGGAGGAUGAAACUAUGCAUUAAAACAUUAUUUUCAUAUUUUUGAAUUUCUCUCAAAAUCUAUGUGUUUCUACGAAAAUAUUGAAUUUUUUGGUAAAUGUUUUAUAUACUUAAGCAUAUGAUCUUUAUUGUUGUUUUAAAAAUUAUAAACAGAUUCUUCAUUUGUAUUAAUGUAUAUUAAUACUCCCUAAAUUGGUGGACUAACCACUAUAAAAUCGCUAUUUUCUAGAGAAACAGAGACAACAAAAUUUCCAAACCUCUUUGACCUUCAUCAUAUGUUAAUGAAUGAAGCAACUAUGCAUUAAAACAUUAUUUUCAUAUUUUUGAUUUUUUCUGAAAAUCUACGUGUUAACAACCCCUACGAAAAUAUUGAAUUUUUCGGUAAAUUCUGUACAUACUGAAAUCUAUGACCUUUAGUGUUAUUUUAAAAUUUCUAAACACAUUACGGGCCGGAGAGUAUUAAUGUAUAUUAAAAAUUCUUUUAAGGUAUAUUAAUUCAUCGUUUUAAUUUUUUGUCAUUUUGUAAAACUUCAUAAAACUCCCUAUAUUGGUGGAAAAACAGAAACAACGAAGGUUCCAAACCUCUUUUAUCUUCAUUAUAUGUUAGUGAAUGAUGCAACUAUGCAUUAAAUUAAUAUUUUCAUAUUUUUGAUUUUUUUCAAAAUCGAUGUGUUAUCUAUCUCCUACGAAAAUAUUGAUUUUUUCGUUAAUGUUCUAUAUACUAAAUUGAUCUUUAGUGUUGUUUUAAAAUUUUUAAAUACAUUCUUCAUUUGUAUUAAUGUAUAUUAAACUCUCUUUUUCAUGGUACAUGUGCAUCGUUUUAAUUUUUUUGUCAAUUAAUUUAGUAAAACUUUAUAAUACUCCCUAAAUUGGUGGACUUAACCACUAUAAAAUCGCUAUUUUCUAGAUAAACGUUGACAACAAAAGUUAAAAACCUAUUUGACUUUCAUCAUAUGUUAGUGGAUGAUGCAACUAUGCACUAAAACAAUAUUUUCAUAGUUUUGAAAUUUUCUCAAAAUCUAUGUGUCCCUACGAAAAUAUUAAAUUUUUUCGGUAAAUGUUUUAUAUACUGAAUCCUAUGAUCGUUAUUGUUGUUUUAAAAACUAUAAACACAUUAUACAUUUGUAUUAACGUAUAUUAAACUCUCUUUCAAGGUACAUUGGCAUAAUUUUAAUUUUUUGUCAAUUAAUUUAAUAAAACUUCAUAAUACUCUCUAAAUUGGUUGACUAACCACUAUAAAAUCGCUAUUCUCUAGAAAAACGGAGACAACAGAGGUUCCAAACCUCUUUGAUCUUCAUCAUAUGUUAGUGAAUGAUGCAAUUAUGCAUUAAAACGGUAUUUUCAUAUUUUUGAAUUUUUUUAAAAAAUCUAUGUGUUAACUCCUACGAAAAUAUUGAAUUUUUCGGUAAAUGUUCUAUAUACUGAAGUCUAUGAUCUUUAGUGUUGUUUUAAAAUUUCUAAACACAUUCUCUAUUUGUAUUAAUAUAUAGUAAACUCUCUUUCAAGGUACAUGGGCAUCGUUAAAUUUGUUUGUUAAUUAAUUUAGUAAAACUUCAUAAUACUCCCUAAAUUGGUGGAUUUAACCACUAUAAAAUCGCUAUUUUCUAGAGAAACGGAGACAACAAAAGUUCCAACACUCUUUGACCUUCAUCGUAUGUUAGUGAAUGAUGCAAUUAUGCAUUAAAACAAUAUUUUUCAUAUUUUUGAAUUUUUGUCAAAAUCUAUGUGUUAACCCCUACAAAAAAAUUGAAUUUUUCGGUAAAUUCUAUAUAUACUGAAGCCUAUGAUCUUUAGUGUUGUUUUAAAAUUUCUAAAAACAUUCUACAUCUGUAUUAAUGUAUAUUAAACUCUCUUUCAUGGUACAUGGACAUCGUUUUAAUUUUUUGUCAAUUAAUUUAAUAAAACUUCAUAAUACUUCAUAAAUUGGUGGAUUUAACCACUAUAAAAUCACUAUUUUUUAGAGAAACAGAGACAACAAGAGUUCCAAACCUCUUUGACCUUCAUCAUAUCUUAGUGGAGGAUGCAACUAUGCAUUAAAACAGUAUUUUCAUAUUUUUGAUUUUUUCUCAAAAUCUAUGUGUUAUAACCCCCUACGAAAAUAUUGAGUUUUUCGGUAAAUGCUCUACUUAAGCCUAAAAUAUUUAGUGUUAUUUUAAAAUUUCUGAACACAUUCUACAUUUGAAUUAAUGUAUAUUAAACUCUCUUUCAUGGAACAUGGACAUCGUUUUAAUUUUUUGUCAAUUAAUUUAGUAAAACUUUAUAAUAAUCCCUAAAUUGGUGAACUAACCACUAUAAAAUCGCUAUUUUUAGGGAAACAGAGACAACAAAAGUUCCAAACCUCUUUGACCUUCACCAUAUGUUAGUGAAGGAUGCAACUAUGCAUUAAAACAGUAUUUUUGAAUUUUUGAAUUUUUUUCAAAAUCUAUGUAUUAACCCCUUACGAAAAUAAUGAAUUAUUCGGUAAAUUCUAUAUAUACUGAAGCCUAUGAUCUUUAGAGUUGUUUUAAAAUUUCUAAACACAUUCUACAUUUGUAUUAAUGUAUAUUAAACUCUCUUUCAUGGUACAUGAACUUCGUUUUAAUUUUUUGUCAAUUACUUUAGUAAAACUUCGUAAUAUUCCAAAAAUUGGUGGACUAACCACUAUAAAAUCACUAUUCUCUAGAAAGACGGAGACAACAAAGGUUCCAAACCUCUGUGACCUUCAUCAUAUGUUAGUGAAGGAUGCAACUAUGCAUUAAAACAUAAUUUUCAUAUUUUUGAAUAUUUCUCAAAAUCUAUAUGUUUACCCCUCCGAAAAUAUUGAAGCCUAUGAUCUUUAGUGUUGUUUUAAAAAUUUUAAACACACUCUACAUUUGUAGUAAUGUAUAUUAAACUCUUUUUCAUGGUAUAUGGACAUCGUUUUAAUUUUAUGUCAAUUAAUUUAGAAAAACUUCCUAAUACUCCCUAAAUUGGUGGAUUUAACCUCUAUAAAAUCGCUAUUUUCUAGAGAAACGGAGACAACAAAAGUUCCAAACCUCUUUGACCUUCAUCAUAUGUUAGUGGAUGAUCCAACUAUGCAUUAAAACAGUAUUUUUAUAUUUUUGAUUUUUUCUCAAAAUCUAUGUGUUAACUAACCCCUACGGAAAUAUUGAGUUUUUCGGUAAAUGCUCUACCGAAGCCUAUAAUAUUUAGUGUUGUUUUAAAAUUUUUUAACACAUUCUACAUUUAUAUUAACGUAUAUUAAACUCACUUUCAUGGUAUAUGGACAUCGUUUUAAUUUUCAAUUAAUUUAGUAAAAGUUCAUAAUACUCCCUAAAUUGGUGGAUUUAACCAUGUUUACCCCUCCGAAAAUAUUGAAGCCUAUGAUCUUUAGUGUUGUUUUAAAAAUUUUAAACACACUCUACAUUUGUAGUAAUGUAUAUUAAACUCUUUUUCAUGGUAUAUGGACAUCGUUUUAAUUUUAUGUCAAUUAAUUUAGAAAAACUUCCUAAUACUCCCUAAAUUGGUGGAUUUAACCUCUAUAAAAUCGCUAUUUUCUAGAGAAACGGAGACAACAAAAGUUCCAAACCUCUUUGACCUUCAUCAUAUGUUAGUGGAUGAUCCAACUAUGCAUUAAAACAGUAUUUUUAUAUUUUUGAUUUUUUCUCAAAAUCUAUGUGUUAACUAACCCCUACGGAAAUAUUGAGUUUUUCGGUAAAUGCUCUACCGAAGCCUAUAAUAUUUAGUGUUGUUUUAAAAUUUUUUAACACAUUCUACAUUUAUAUUAACGUAUAUUAAACUCACUUUCAUGGUAUAUGGACAUCGUUUUAAUUUUCAAUUAAUUUAGUAAAAGUUCAUAAUACUCCCUAAAUUGGUGGAUUUAACCACUAUAAAAUCGCUAUUUUCUAGAUAACAAAAGUUCCAAACCUCUUUGACAUUCAUCAUGUGUUAGUGGAUGAAGCAACUAUGCAUUGAAACAAUAUUUUCAUAUUUUUUAUUUUUUCUCAAAAUCUAUGUGAUCCCUACGAAAAUAUUGAAUUUUUCAGUAAAUGCUCUAUAUACUGAAGUUCCAAACCUCUUUGACCUUCAUCAUAUAUGUUAGUGGAGGAUCCAACUAUGCAUUGAAACAAUAUUUUCAUAUUUUUUAAUUUUUCUCAAAAUCUAUGUGUUAACCCCUACGAAAAUAUUGAAUUUUUCGGUAAAUCUAUUAUUAUAAAGAAGAGUUUACUCCCUCCUGGUUGAGACACCUCAUCCGCCACGUCAGAAAAUCAUUCCUCCAGGGACUGACACGUGUCCAGUUCUCUAAACGCACCGUAUCAAUUACUCGGUGGGAUCAUGGGUUUCGACUGCGUGUGCGAUUGCGCCAUUGCAAAACUAUCGUUUCUGAUUUCCUUUCAAGUUCAGUUCUCAUUUCGAGUUAUCAUUUCCUGUUGCAAGUUUUCAGUUUUUUUCGCUGUUUCUACUAGUCAUUUCGAGUUAUCAUUUCCUGUUGCAAGUUUUCAGUUUUUUUCGUUGUUUCUAGUAAUAAUUAUCUUUGUUCUAGAUUUACCUAAUAUAAAUAAAAUAGAUAUAUUUAUUUUGAAAAACAUCAUUAGGACAGACUAUGCAUAUCAAGUUACAUCAUACUGAAAAAGAGAAACAAUUCCUAUAUAUAUAAAACACUGCAUAUUAGAAAGGCUCAAGAUUCGGUGGUGGAGCUCCCGGUUUACAUGGCCGCCGCUGCUGAAGAAGUAAGUCUCGAGAUUCAGAUCUGAUUUUUUUGUUUUAGCGAAAGUCAUUGUCUGAUUUCUAAGAUCUGUGGUGAUUCAGGUGUUAAGAAGCUUGCUGCCAGAGACAACAAGAAGUCGACGAUCAUUCCCAGGCGCUUUUUUUUUUUUUUUGCCGAUUAGGAACUAUGAAGCUUUUACCAAUUUUUUUUUCUUUUUAGAGUAAUUUUGUAUUAUAUAUUUG
rnacentral:lncRNA from 1 species